AUUGAACGCUGGCGGCAGGCCUAACACAUGCAAGUCGAGCGGAUGAAGGGAGCUUGCUCCUGGAUUCAGCGGCGGACGGGUGAGUAAUGCCUAGGAAUCUGCCUGGUAGUGGGGGAUAACGUCCGGAAACGGGCGCUAAUACCGCAUACGUCCUGAGGGAGAAAGUGGGGGAUCUUCGGACCUCACGCUAUCAGAUGAGCCUAGUUCGGAUUAGCUAGUUGGUGGGGUAAAGGCCUACCAAGGCGACGAUCCGUAACUGGUCUGAGAGGAUGAUCAGUCACACUGGAACUGAGACACGGUCCAGACUCCUACGGGAGGCAGCAGUGGGGAAUAUUGGACAAUGGGCGAAAGCCUGAUCCAGCCAUGCCGCGUGUGUGAAGAAGGUCUUCGGAUUGUAAAGCACUUUAAGUUGGGAGGAAGGGCAGUAAGUUAAUACCUUGCUGUUUUGACGUUACCAACAGAAUAAGCACCGGCUAACUUCGUG
rnacentral:rRNA from 1 species